CAGCGACGCCGCGUGAGGGAUGACGGCCUUCGGGUUGUAAACCUCUUUCACCAGGGACGAAGCGUGAGUGACGGUACCUGGAGAAGAAGCACCGGCCAACUACGUGCCAGCAGCCGCGGUAAUACGUAGGGUGCGAGCGUUGUCCGGAAUUACUGGGCGUAAAGAGCUCGUAGGCGGUUUGUCGCGUCGUCUGUGAAAUUCUGCAACUCAAUUGCAGGCGUGCAGGCGAUACGGGCAGACUUGAGUACUACAGGGGAGACUGGAAUUCCUGGUGUAGCGGUGAAAUGCGCAGAUAUCAGGAGGAACACCGGUGGCGAAGGCGGGUCUCUGGGUAGUAACUGACGCUGAGGAGCGAAAGCGUGGGUAGCGAACAGGAUUAGAUACCCUGGUAGUCCACGCC
rnacentral:rRNA from 1 species